rnacentral:tRNA from 1 species
GGCCGUAUCGUAUAGUGGUCGAUUACACUCGCCUGUCACGCGAGAGACAGGGGUUCAAUUCCCCUUACAGCCGCCA